rnacentral:rRNA from 1 species
CAGUCGCCGCGGUAAAACGUAGGUGGCAAGCGUUGUCCGGAAUUAUUGGGCGUAAAGGGCUCGCAGGCGGUUUCUUAAGUCUGAUAUGAAAGCUCCCAGCUCAACCGGGGAGGGUCAUUGGAAACUGGGAAACUUGAGUGCAGAAGAGGAGAGUGGAAUUCCACGCGUAGCGGUGAAAUGCGUAGAGAUGUGGAGGAACACCAGUGGCGAAGGCGACUCUCUGGUCUGUAACUGACGCUGAGGAGCGAAAGCGUGGGGAGCGAACAGGAUUAGAUACCCCUGUAGUCCCUGUCUCUUAUAC